rnacentral:lncRNA from 1 species
CUUUGACAGCUUCCAAGACCUACCCGUGGCCAGAGACCACAAAGCACAUCCCAUGUGGGGAGCUGUAGUCAUGAUGAGCAGGCAGCAGGUGUGUCAGGUGAUCCAGUGUCCCAUUGGACAGGCAGGCUGCUCUUAACUGGGCAAACAUGGUAUGAACAAAGAAUGUGAAUUCUGCACUUCUGCUACAGUUUGUUUCGCAGCUGUGCUUUGGGGAAGGGUUCUACUGGCACUCCUUGGCACACAAGGCAACGAGGAAGAGACAACGGCUGUUAGGACCAGGCUUUAUCACUCUGGUUCUGAAACCACCUUCAGCAGCAUUUCAGAGACACAUGGCCUUGUCAGUUUGUAUUUUAGGAAACCAUGUGGUAGGUUCUUAUAAAUAGGUAGAGCUGCUUCCAGCAAUAAGGAUUUCCUUCAUCCGCCACUUAGAAGUUGCAAAGACUGAUCUGAAGGCCACAGAAAGGAAGAGGAUGCAAUUGUGUUGUAAAGAGACCACAGAAAGAUAAAAGCUCAGACUGAAAAUUCAGGUUGAGAUUUUGGUCACCUGAUAGAUGAAUGUUAAGCUAGUGGCAGAUAGUGUUUCAUAUAAAUGCUGUUCGUGAUUUUCAGUGUUCAAACUCUGACAUGAAAUUAAGAAGAAGAACA